AUUGAACGCUGGCGGCAUGCCUUACACAUGCAAGUCGAACGGCAGCACGGGAGCAAACCUGGUGGCGAGUGGCGAACGGGUGAGUAAAGUAUCGGAACGUGCCCAGUCGUGGGGGAUAACGUAGCGAAAGUUACGCUAAUACCGCAUACGAUCUAUGGAUGGAAGCGGGGGAUCGCAAGACCUCGCGCGAUUGGAGCGGCCGAUAUCAGAUUAGGUAGUUGGUGGGGUAAAGGCUCACCAAGCCGACGAUCUGUAGCUGGUCUGAGAGGACGACCAGCCACACUGGGACUGAGACACGGCACAGACGCCUACGGGAGGCAGCAGUGGGGAAUUUUGGACAAUGGGCGAAAGCCUGAUCCAGCCAUGCCGCGUGCAGGAUGAAGGCCUUCGGGUUGUAAACUGCUUUUGUACGGAACGAAAAGGUUUGGCCUAAUAAGCUGAGCUCAUGACGGUACCGUAAGAAUAAGCAUCGGCUAACUACGUGCCAGCCGCCGCGGUAA
rnacentral:rRNA from 1 species